AUUGAACGCUGGCGGCAUGCCUUACACAUGCAAGUCGAACGGUAACAGGUCUUCGGAUGCUGACGAGUGGCGAACGGGUGAGUAAUACAUCGGAACGUGCCUAGUAGUGGGGGAUAACUACUCGAAAGAGUGGCUAAUACCGCAUGAGAUCUACGGAUGAAAGCAGGGGAUCGCAAGACCUUGUGCUACUAGAGCGGCCGAUGGCAGAUUAGGUAGUUGGUGGGAUAAAAGCUUUCCAAGCCGACGAUCUGUAGCUGGUCUGAGAGGACGAUCAGCCACACUGGGACUGAGACACGGCCCAGACUCCUACGGGAGGCAGCAGUAGGGAAUUUUGGACAAUGGGCGAAAGCCUGAUCCAGCAAUGCCGCGUGCAGGAUGAGGGCCUUCGGGUUGUAAACUGCUUUUGUACGGAACGAAAAGCCCCGGGUUAAUACCCUGGGGUCAUGACGGUACCGUAAGAAUAAGCACCGGCUAACUACGUGCCAGCCGCCGCCGUAA
rnacentral:rRNA from 1 species